UCAUUAUUGAAUUAAAUUUUGGUUGGGUUGUUGCUGGCUCUUUUCUCUGGAGCAAUGUGCACGCUUGAUCAAACAUUUUAACCACCUGUGCACACACUGUAGGCCUGAGAAAUUUUUUUCGAGACAACUCGGUUUGAGAACUGCUGCAAAGCUGUUCUUGCCAUUUCAGGUUCUAUGUUUUUCAACAUAUACUCUAUAAACAAGUCAUAGAAUGUUUUAAUUAUUGGCCUUUUUUGUGCCUUUAAACCCUAAUACAACUUUCAACAACGGAUCUCUUGGCUCUCGCAUCGAUGAAGAACGCAGCGAAAUGCGAUAAGUAAUGUGAAUUGCAGAAUUCAGUGAAUCAUCGAAUCUUUGAACGCACCUUGCGCUCCUUGGUAUUCCGAGGAGCAUGCCUGUUUGAGUGUCAUGAUAUUCUCAACCUUUCUGGCUUCUUAUGAAGUCGAGUCAGGCUUGGAUUGUGGGAGUUGCUGGUUUUUGUUAAUCAGCUCUUCUUAAAUGUAUUAGCAAAAAUAAGUCUUUGCUGAACCAUCUUUGGUAUGAUAAUUAUCUAUAUCAUUGAGAACACAGCUAUCCACUUUCUGCGGAUCCUCAGGGCUCUGCUUGGAUUUAUUUCCAAGUGUUCGAUUCAACCGUUUUGAAGCACCAGCUUAGGCACAGACAUUAAUUUGUUUGAUGGUGUUGAAUACUUCAGGUUGACGAAGCGAA
rnacentral:sRNA from 1 species